rnacentral:ncRNA from 2 species
ACUAGAUAUGGUAGCCACGGUCUCUCGAGUCGUCGUACCGAGAGCUAAGAGGGAAGCUGGUGCGCCUCGGUCCAUGAUCCGGGCAAGGCCAGCGCUGCCCCCGCAACUGUAAGCGGCGAGCCGAGUCCAAUUGAGUGUCACUGGAACCGCAGGGUUCCGGGAAGGCCGGACGGACGCUACGACCCGCAAGUCAGGAGAUCUGCCGUGGCGGAAAGAACGUC